GAAAGAAUCAGCCAGGAAACUAAGGAGGCAAAACACUCUGAUAUUAGAGGAGUAACGAAGAGACAAACACUUAGGGAGCAUUUGUUUCAGUGCAAGGUCACUGUUCAUUAAUACUCGUACAGAUAGCUUAUUAACCACCCAGAAAAUUCACUUCAAGUUUUCAAGCUACAUAAUACUCAAAAUCACUAGCUGAAUAUAGAUGAGGAGAUGCAGGCUUGCUGCACAGAGAGCUCGACAGCGCUUUAACCAUAAGCUUCAUCGAUUCUGAAAACAGAGAUUAUCCCAUGUAAGAUUUAUCCCACCCUCCUGCCCUCCACCCACACCCCAGGACAUGAAACUUCCUCCAGCCUAUUAUGGAAGGCGUGGAUGAGGAAUUGUGCACUCUGAACAGCCCUCUGCCUCAGAGGCGGUGGGUGGAUGGUGGGUCUGCCGGGUGGAGGAUGAAGAAAAAUGCCACCCUCUGCAGCAGGAACCUUCACUCUGGGACCCAUGGAACAGCAGUGACCUUGGGGCUCGGCCAGCCUUCCAGGUCUGCUCCUUUAGGCAUCUUUUCACCCCUUGUAGAGCCCAGUGUGACGUCUCCUUGCUGCCUUGUAGCACUACAUGGAAUGAAUGAAUGGUAUCGCUCAUUCUAAGGCCUGGGAUGGUGGAUUAUUCAGCAGGGGCUUUGCCGUGUAAACUCUCUAGAGAAAGUUGUCAACAGCCUGUUCUUCUUCAGUGGUGAGACUUGGAUGAAUUCAGGUAAAAUUUGCAAAUUCUCAUUUGCCAUUUUUUCCCCUUGUUCUUGUUAGCAGUAAUCUUUUUUCCCCUAUGAUAUCCUCUUACCUAUUUUCAUAUCUGUUUCUGAGCAGAGAAGGUAUAUGUUUCCAUGAAUGCUCAGAAUUGUUCUGCCCAUAUAGCUUGCAUUUCAGUGUCUUUGGGGCUGGAUAUUUCAGUCGAAUAGACAUGAACGUAAUGAAGCUGAGUGUAUGGUUCAAUCCUAGUUAAUGAAGUAGCUGGAUUUUCACCGAGAAGAAUCCCACUCAUUAGGUGAACACUGUGGUUUCUAUUUGCUAGGAUGUUCUGUUGAUUCCCAAGAGUGAGUGAGUGUGUUUCCAUCACUGAGGAGACAGCUCACAGCAAUGACUUCUAUUGAAGGGAGGAAAGAAGGGUUAGCAUCGACAAUAUCCCCGUUAAUUGAAGAAGAGUGAGCUUGAGAAGUGAGGAAAACCGGAGUCUGGGCUUUAGUCCAUCUUCCCAAGCUUCCAUCUGGCCCUUCUCUUCAUUUCUGACUUGUGAGGCAGUCUGGAUUGACUUAGACUAAUCAUUUCUCCGGGACUCACUGUAUCCAGUACCCUGAAAAGGAAAGUCGCCGUGAUGAAUUCAGGUUGGUUUGAAAAACAGAUUCUUCCUCUGGUGGGUGCUCUCACCUCCCCCACCCCGCCCUCCUCUUUUCUCUAGCCCAGGCAGUGUUUAAGGGCUCUGCUG
ensembl:lncRNA